ACACCAGUUGAUCCUGCUGGAGGAUACUGCUAUCGGAUUACGACUAAGCCAUGCAAGUUUAGGGAUUACACUUGUAAUCCCGGCAAACGGCUCAGUAACACGUAGUGAACCUACCUUACAGAGGCGAAUAACCGCGCGAAAGUGCGGGUAAUACGCCAUAGGCCACCAAACCUGGAACGGUUGGCGGUUGAAAAAAAAGUGAAUUGGAGCAAGUUUGCUGUAAGAUGGCACUGCGGCUGAUUAGGCUGUUGGUGAGGUAACGGCCCACCAAACCUAUAAUCAGUAGGGGCUAUGGGAGUAGGAGCCCCGAGACGGGCACUGAGACAAGGGCCCGAGUCCUACGGGAUGCAGCAGGCGCGAAAAUUCCGCAAUGCGCGAAAGCGUGACGGGGGUAGUCCGAGUGCCGAUCGAAAGGUCGGCUUUUAACCGGCUUGAAUAGCCGGUGGAAUAAGUUCUGGGUAAAUCCUGUGCCAGCCGCCGCGGUAACACAGGUAGAACUAGUGGUAUCCACGAAUAUUGAGCUUAAAGCGUCCGUAGCCGGCUUGGCAAGUUUCCUGUGAAAUCCAUUCGCUUAACGAAUGGGCGUGCAGGGAAUACUACCGAGCUUGAGAGUGGGGGAGUCCAAGGGUACUUUAGGGGGAGGAGUAAAAUCCUGUAAUCCUUAGAGGACCAUCGGUGGCGAAAGCGCUUGGACAAAACACGUCUGACGGUGAGGAACGAAGGCCAGGGUAGCGAAUCGGAUUAGAUCUGAUUUGGACUUGCAAAAGGGCAAAAGCUAUUUUUGUGAUAGUGUUUCUUUCGCUUUACUACGGAAACAUUUUGAAGCCUAAGCUUUUGUCCGUUCAAAUCACUAAAAACCCGAGUAGUCCUGUGCAGUAAAUGAUGCAGACUUGGCGUUGCAGCGACUUCGCGUUGCUGCAGUGCCGUAGUGAAAACGUUUAGUCUGCCGCUUGGGGAGUACGAUCGCAAGAUUGAAACUUAAAGGAAUUGGCGGGGGAGCUGAAGAGAAUUCUUGAACCACUGGAAAGGUGCUCUGCUCAAGUUUAAAUUCUAAUGAAAUUUGUUUCAUUCAUGAACAAAUCUGAAGCGGGAAAACUUGGCAGAGCAGCGGUGCUGCUGAAAUACUCUGAAGAAACAAGAAGAAUGUGGAGUAAAAAAGGCGCUCUGAAAUUAAAUGAGAUUUUAUCUGAAGAAGACCGUCGUAAAGGCGGUUUUGCACAAGAUAAAUCAUCUAAAUCUUUAGGAGCGAGAAAUGCAGCAAAGAAAAAACAGUUGUCUCCUUCUGAAUCACUCGUAAUAAGCUAUUUGCAAACUCUUGGUUUCAGUCUUUCAUUGGAGCCAGGAAGCGAUUUCGAAAUACAUUCGAUAAUCAAAACUUCGAUAAGGCCUUUUGAGGUCGAUUUAGCAAAAUUCGAAAACGGAAUUCCUAAAAUCAUCGUCGAGGUAACGUCGCAAAAGAGUGAGAUCAAAGGAGAAUCAAUUGCUUUCAAAGCGAGCAAAAUCAAGAAAGAUUUUCCUGAUUUGAAAUUCGUCGCAAUAGUCCCGAAGAACACCGUUUCUGCGGGUUUGAUCGCCUUGAAAAGCGAGUGUGACGAAGUAAUUUUUAUAGAAGAACUUUCCGGCCAAGAAUUCUUUUCUCCUAUACCACAAGGGGUGGAUGCUGCGGUUCAAUUGGACUCAACGCCGGGAAACUCACCAGCAGAGACGGCAGUAUGAAGCUCAGACUAACGAUCUUAGCUAACAAGCCGAGAAGUGUUGCAUGGCCAGCGCCAGCUCGUGCCGUGAGGUGUCACGUUAAGUCGUGCAACGAGCGAGAUCUUCGUCCACAGUUGCUACCUUUCAAGAAAUUGGGAGGGCACUCUGUGGAGACUGCCCGCGUUAAGUGGGAGGAAGGAGAAGGCGACGCUAGGUCCGUAUGGCCUGAAUCUGCUGGGCCACACGUGGCAUACAAUAGUAGGGACAAUGUGUUCCGACACCGAAAGGUGAAGGCAAUCACCUAAACCCUACUCCAGUACGGAUUGGGGGCUGAAACUCGCCCCCAUGAAGUUGGAAUCCCUAGUAAUCGCGUGUCAUCAUCGCGCGGUGAAUAUGUCCCCGCUCCUUGCACACACCGCCCGUCAAGCCAUCCAAGUGAGGUUUUAGUGAGGCUGUAACUUCGGUUGCAUUCGAGCUAGAUCUUCAUGAGGAGGGUUAAGUCGUAACAAGGUAACCGUAGGGGAACCUGCGGUUAGAUCACCUCCA
rnacentral:rRNA from 1 species